rnacentral:rRNA from 1 species
AACGAACGCUGGCGGUAUGCUUAACACAUGCAAGUCGAACGGACUUAAGAGAGCUUGCUCUUUUAAGUUAGUGGCAAACGGGUGAGUAACACGUGGGAAUCUACCCAUCAGUACGGAAUAACUUUUGGAAACAAAAGCUAAUACCGUAUAUUCUCUACGGAGGAAAGAUUUAUCGCUGAUGGAUGAGCCCGCGCUAGAUUAGGUAGUUGGUAGGGUAAUGGCCUACCAAGCCGACGAUCUAUAGCUGGUCUGAGAGGAUGAUCAGCCACACUGGGACUGAGACACGGCCCAG